UUCUGUUCAUAUUAAGUAUUUUUUGUCUGUUUUACCUCACUUUGAACAAGUAAAAGAAGUUAACCUGCAUGCUGGACAUGCCUCAGUACACGUGAAUAGCCUAUGAAUAAAGUGUACUCGAUUUUAGGGACAUGGGUGUCAGUCAUUUUGGAAUUCUCAAGUGUUCCUAAAUCAUGUUCUAACUCCCCCUAGCCUUUUGAGUCCUGGACUUGUUAAAGGACACACACGUAGGACCAGUACACCUACGAGGUGUUCAUUUCAGGUAAAUUGGAUGAACUCUUGGCCUUUGGUCAUGAUUUUAAUAUAUGGGGGUAGAAAACAACAAGGACAAGGAUGGACUCUUACAACAAUGAGAGAGCAUUUAUCAUUUGCCCCUUGAAUGUAGAAUUUGGUUUUAAUUUCAGUAUUCUGCUAGCAACCAGGACCACACUUCUAUCUUCUCCAGGGUACUGGGGAUGGCCACCAGGGAGCCACAUAGGCUUUGAGACAUCCCGUACGUACAACCUUAGGGUUGAUAGUGACAGACUUCACCACCCGGUGCCCCAGGGACAUUUCUGAGUGAAGACAAGAAUGUGGGUAGCAGAAGUUCCUCUCUGCAGCCACCAUCUCAUCGCAACCCCCUUGGGGAAGCCAGGAAUUGUAAGGGUCAUGUGUUAAGCCUACUGCCCCAGGCAGGUGGAGCCCCAUCAUGCCUGGUUCACUUAAGGAGGCGGGGCUGAAGCCCAGAGAGGAAGCAGCUUGCCCAAGGUCACACCGUAAACACGGUGGGGAGGCCAGUGGGUUGGGGCUUCUGUCUCCUCUGCACUGCUCCCUCCAUUGCCCCAUCUUGGCUCAACGAGUUCUGAUUAACAGAGCUUUGCCUCUUCUCUAGCUCGUCCUAAGGCUUGAAAAGUCCCUGAAGCCACUUCUGGGCCUGGGGGACAGGGUGCGGGCUGCCCUGUUGGCACCUGUUUCCCUUCCCUUCACUAGGGUGAAGCUGGCUUUUUGCCUCAUGAGGUUGGUGUUUUGUAUAUAAACUGCUGCUAUCUUAGUAUCAGUUAGGACGUCUUUGGUGGUGACAAACAACCCCCAAAUUAUAACUGGCUUCAUACCCGGAUUUAUUUUGUACUUACUCAUGUACUCCCUGACUCAGGCCUCUCCCCAUGCCAGCCGUUCCCUGUAGUGACUCAGUGCCCCCAUGCGCUUUCAUCUUGUGGCUUACCACCACAGUGGGUGGCCUCCGUGACUGCUGUGGGGUGGGGGCGGGGCUGGGGAGGGAGCGUGGAGCACGGGAGGAUCACACACUCACUCUUGAAUGCCUCUGUCACUUCCACUCAUAGCCCACUGGCCGGAACUAGGCAUGUGGCCACACCUAAUUGCAAGGGCCUGGGCAGCGUGGAGGUGGACGUGUCAUGUGUGUAAUUCUGAGCAAUACGUGUCUCUGCCAAGUCCUCAGGCUUGGGGGGGGGGGUGCGGUGGGCGUGCAGGUAAACACGGGCUGCAUUAAGCAGGGCAAUGACCACAGGCCUGUGGGGGCUGAUUGUGAAUAACGGAUCUGGGGACUGGUGGUAGCUUUUAG
rnacentral:lncRNA from 1 species